GUUUGCCACGUCUGAGGCUCUCCCUGGCUGCUCUCGGCCAGCACUGCUGCAGCCGUGAGGUCUCGGCUGCUGGCUGAAGCCCCAGAUCAGCUGGGCAGAGCAGGGGUAUGCUGUGGGGACAGAGGAGGUUGUGGGGACCUGUGCCAUCUCGGUGUUUCUGAGGAGACGAAAUGAUUUUGCUCUUUAUCAGUCCCACCCGUUGCUCAGACACCGCACCUGCACAGUUUCUGCCAGCUCUUACAGCUCCGAGUAUCUAGCCGUGAGUGUAUUUUUAGGGAAGCCUUCAUUUUAUCUAUUUCUCUUCCUGCACAGGUUAGCCGUCCUUGCACAAAGGGCGAUGAGGAUUACAGAGGUGAGUGGCGCAUCCUGACUCUGUCCCCAUACGGGGGGCUUGAUGAGUUAGGAGCAUCAGCACAGGUUCACCUGGCCUCAUCGCUAUGCCUGUGUGGGGAGAGCUUAAGAAGAUGCAUGAACUGGGAGAGAAGGCUUUAAAAAAAAAGGAGUAAGGUGAAGGUUAAAGGCUCAAAGAUUGAGCACAACAUUCAGGCACAUAAAAGCCCUGUUACUGCCACGAUGCAGGUCUAUUAAUAAAAGCUUCAGCUCUGGCUUGAUGGAAAACCUGCCCUCUCAAUAAUUACUGUUGCAAGAGAUGUUUUUGAUAGUGGCAGUUUGCAACUUGAGGUAAAUAUCCUUUUUCAUACCACGCACCUGUCCGCGGUUGUCUCUCACAUCAGUAGAGCUUUUUUUUUUUCCUGCCGUGACACUAUUUUAGUUUGAUAAAAUGCCACCAGUUCCUUUUCUUAGCUGUCCUUUCUACGAAUGUCUCCAGAAAACAAAAUGAGUUUGCAACAACUCUCAGCAGUGCCGUGCUCUGUAAGAAGUCCGAUGGCUGACAAACACUUCAUGAUAAGGUUCAAUGGGUGUUAAAGAAAAGGUAAAAUGUGCGCUGAUGACUGGGACUGAGCCCUCUGGCCACAGCCUGGCCUUUCUCACAGACUCAGUUUGGGCUUCUGAAUGCAAGCUGGGUGUUACUCAGCUCCGAAGUUGUUUCAUGGAGAGCAGCUCCCAGCUCCUGCUCCCUGCAUGCCCCUUGGACACACCUGAGCAGAUAGCAGCGCGCAAUGUGAGGGUUGGGACAUGCUGGCCAACCCCUUGGGCAGCUGUUUCCAAAAUAUCGAGUCUCCAGGGCUCCCCUGGAGGAAGAAGGGAUCCAGGACUGCAGCUGGAAGCACGAAGAGCAGACAUGGCAGAGGGCUGGUGCUGUGAGCGUGCCACCACCAGUGUGUCUGCCACAGCUGCCAUCCCAUCGCAGCAGAAUUUGCUACAUGCACUUUUUGUUAUUUGCUGUGAUGUGAAAUUACUGCAGAUUCCAAGUGUAAAAGCAUCGUGGUUAGCAGCCCAGUUACCUCAUCCUAGAGGGAGGAUUGCAUCAGGUGCAUGCAGAUCUCUUUACAUCCCUACCAGCUGGCUUACUGUGAAGGAAACUUUCUUGCAAGAAAGCUCUGAGAGAAGUUGUCCAGAAUGCUAAAAUUUAUUACAACUACUCCUUAAAACUUGGUCAAAUUUUAAUUUCACCUAGCCAGAUAGAAAUACAGUUUGAGUCUUUUUAAAACAUCCCACAGUUUAUAACUGCUCAGAAAUCUCAUUGCUGAGACGCUCUGCAACAGUUGUGCUGGGCAAGAACUCAAGCCCUAGAGUUAGGGUUGUGCAAACUGCUGGAAACAAGGGGAGAAGGCAACAGUGAACCGUAUGGACAGGCAGCGCUUGGCUGAAUGCUUCAGUCCAGGUGGACAAAUCUCUCACACAAAUCAACAUAAUAUUCAUGACUGCAUAUAAUUUACCUGCCCCAUAAACACCACAGAAGAGCCACUCUUUGCAGUAUUACCCCAGUUAUCAAUCCUUCGACCUGGAAUUUUAUGGCACUGACUGGUGGUUAUACACAUCUCAGCCUCAGGAAUGUGAAUGCCUUGUGACAAGUAGGAUCAGCCCUUGCGAUUAUGCCUUAACUUACCUUAUCAUAUAAUUACAUACUCUUCUGAUUUACAUUAAUGUAUUAUCUAAAAAUGUAUUUAACUAGCAUGUUUUUCUAAGAAAGGCAGGAAAGGUUUGGAGCGAUGGGGAAGGUGCUGUGCUGCCUCCUCUCCCUCCCAGCCACCAGAGGAGCUGCCUCCAUCCCCACGGGCAUCACCACACGCACAAAAUGAGUUCAGAUGCCCUGCUCACACCUGGGUCUGCCACAUCCUUCUGGGGCAGGUAACUAGGCAAGGAAAUCCUGCCCCAGUUUCACUUUAACCAAAGUUACAGUCGCUCCCAGUCAAAUGUACAGGAUCCAGAGAGAAGAAACAAUGUAGAAGCUUUGGAUUGAAAAGGAUGCUUCCUUUUGGGUUACAGCACAGAACCUACUUCUUUUCUUUGCCUCCCUAACAUCAUUUCAAUUUUAAGUUUCACGAGAAAGAGCAGAUAUUGAGCAUUGUAGGACUCGUGUUUUCUGUGCUAUUCCACAGUU